rnacentral:rRNA from 2 species
UUAUACCGUGAAACUGCGAAUGGCUCAUUAAAUCAGUUAUCGUUUAUUUGAUAAUACCUUACUACUUGGAUAACCGUGGUAAUUCUAGAGCUAAUACAUGCUGAAAAUCCCGACUUCGGAAGGGAUGUGUUUAUUAGAUAAAAAACCAAUGCCCUUCGGGGCUUUUUGGUGAUUCAUGAUAACUUUACGGAUCGCAUAGCCUUGCGCUGGCGACGGUUCAUUCAAAUUUCUGCCCUAUCAACUUUCGAUGGUAAGGUAUUGGCUUACCAUGGUUUCAACGGGUAACGGGGAAUUAGGGUUCGAUUCCGGAGAGGGAGCCUGAGAAACGGCUACCACAUCCAAGGAAGGCAGCAGGCGCGCAAAUUACCCAAUCCCGACACGGGGAGGUAGUGACAAUAAAUACUGAUACAGGGCUCUUUUGGGUCUUGUAAUUGGAAUGAGUACAAUUUAAACCUCUUAACGAGGAACAAUUGGAGGGCAAGUCUGGUGCCAGCAGCCGCGGUAAUUCCAGCUCCAAUAGCGUAUAUUAAAGUUGUUGCAGUUAAAAAGCUCGUAGUUGAAACUUGGGCCUGGCUGGCGGGUCCGCCUCACCGCGUGCACUCGUCCGGCCGGGCCUUCCUUCUGAAGAACCUCAUGCCCUUCACUGGGCGUGCUGGGGAAUCAGGACUUUUACUUUGAAAAAAUUAGAGUGUUCAAAGCAGGCCUUUGCUCGAAUACGUUAGCAUGGAAUAAUAAAAUAGGGCGUGCGUUUCUAUUUUGUUGGUUUCUAGAGACGCCGCAAUGAUUAACAGGAACAGUCGGGGGCAUCAGUAUUCAGUUGUCAGAGGUGAAAUUCUUGGAUUUACUGAAGACUAACUACUGCGAAAGCAUUUGCCAAGGAUGUUUUCAUUAAUCAGUGAACGAAAGUUAGGGGAUCGAAGACGAUCAGAUACCGUCGUAGUCUUAACCGUAAACUAUGCCGACUAGGGAUCGGGCGAUGUUCUUUUUCUGACUCGCUCGGCACCUUACGAGAAAUCAAAG